UGUGGUUACCAGCUGUAAUGGGACCCAUGCUCAUGGGGUGAUUCUGUGAGCUCACACUCUUUCCACACCCUAUCCCCAAAAUGAAACAACUUGAAACUGUCUCAAUUUAUAUUAUACUGCUCAAUAAAGAUUUGGGGGUUGCUUUGGCAGACUAUCAUAUGCGAGCUCUCUUUUCCAAAUAUCACAACUUACUUUUCUGCUCUCUCAAAUUCCUCCCUCCCCUCCCCCACUCCAUUUCCUCGUGACCACAUCUGCUUCUUGGAGACGCUUGCAGGAUCCGACACAUCCUCCUGGUUUCCUAAGUCUCAUGACUAGCCAAUGCCUGAAUAAUGAACUCCUCCAAGGCAAGAAAUCUGUUUUGUAGCUUCUCUGCGAUCUCCCUAUUCCCGGGGUACAAUGAUAUUGGAAUAAGGACAAUUAAUUACUCUAUAAUGGCCCCAAAGAGUUCAAGCGAAAGGAAGUUGGAGAUCUCUCGCCUUCAAUCAAAAGCAAGAAAUGAUUAAGCUUAGUGAGGAAGUCACGCUGAAAGCUGAGGCAGAACAAAAGCUGGGUCUCUUGUGCCAACUAGUUAACCAGGUUGUGAAUCCAAAGGAAAAGUUCUUUUUUUUUUUUGAGACAAAGUCUCGCUCUGUCACCCAGGCUGGAGUGCCAUUCACUGCAACCUCCACCUCCCGGGUUCAAGCGAUUCUCCCUGCCUGCCACCACGCCCAGCUAAUUUUUUGUAUUUUUAGUAAAGACAGGUUUUCACCAUGUUGGCCAGGCUGGUCUCAAACUCCUAACCUCAGGCAAUCCAGUCUCCCAAAGUGCUGGGAUUAUAGGCACGAGCCGCCACAUGAUCUUGAAAGAAAUUACAAGUGCUACUCCAAUGAACAUACAAAUGAUAAGAAAGCAAAACAGCCCUAUUGCUGAUAUGGAGAAAGUCUGAAUGGUCUGGAUAGAGAUCAAACCAGUCACAACAUUCCCUUAAGCCAAAGCCUAAACCAGAGCAAGGUCCUAAUUCUCUCCAGUUCUAUGAAGGCUGAAAGAGGUGAGGAAGCUGCAGAAGAAAAGUUGGAAGUUAGCAAAGGUUGAUUCUAGAGGGUUAAGGAAAAAAGCCACCUUCAUAACAUAAAAGUGCAGGAUGAAGCAGCAAGUGCUGAUGGAGAAGCUGUAGCAAGUUAUCCAGAAGAUCUUGCUAAGGUAAUUGUUGAAGGUGUCUACAUUCAACAACAGAUUUUCAAUGUAGACAAAGCAGCUUUCUACUGGUUGAAGAUGCCAUGUAGGCCUUUAAUAGCUGGAGAAGAGAAGUCAAUGCCUGGCUUCAAGCUUCAAGGGACAGACUGACUCUCUUAUUAGGGGCUAAUGCAACUGGUGAUUUUAAGUUGAAGCCAAUGCUCAUUUACUAUUCUAAAAAUCCUAGGAUCCUGAAGAAUUAUGUUGAAUCUACUCUUCCUGUGCUCUACAAGUGGAACAACAAAGCCUGGAUGAUAGCGUAUCUGUUUACAUCAUGGUUUGUGGAAUAAUUUAAGCCCACUGUUGAGAUCUACUACUCAGAAAAAAAAUUCCUUCCAAAAUAUUACUGUCCAUUGACAAUGAACCUAAUCACCCAAGAGCUCUGAUGGAGAUGGACAGGAAGAUGAUUGCUGUUUCUGUGCCUACUAACACAAUAACCACUUGACAGCUUACGGGUCAAGGAGUCAUUUCAACUUUCAAGUCUUAUUAUUUAAGAAAUAAAAUUUGUGAGGAGGCUGGAUGCAGUGGCUCACACCUGUAAUCCCAGCAUUUUGGGAAGCCAAGGUGGCCAGAUCACCUGAGGUUGGGAGUUCGAGACCAGCCUGAGCAACAUGGAGAAACUUCCUCUCUACUAAAAAUACAAAAUUAUCCAGGUGUGGUGGUGCAUACCUGCAAUCCCAGCUACUGGAGAGGCUGAGGCAGGAGAACUGCUUGAACCUGGGAGGCAGAGGUUGCUAUGAGCCAACAUCGUGCUAUUGCACUCCAGGUUGGGCAACAAGAGUGAAACUCCAUCUCAAAAAAUAAAAAAGAAAUAUAAUUUGUAAGGGUAGAGCUGCUGUAGUGAUUGAUCUGGGCAAAGUCCAUUGAAAAUCUCUGGAAAGAAUUCAGCACUCUAUAUGCCAUUAGGAACAUUUAUGAUUCAUGGGAGGAGGUCAAGAUAUUAAUGUUAACAGGAAUUUGGAAGAAGAUUCAAAUUCUCAUGGGCAACUUUGAGGGGCUCAAGACUUCAGUUGACGAAGUCACCAGAGAUGUCCUGCAAAUAGCAAGAGAAUUAGAAUUAGAAGUGGAGCCUGACGAUGUGAUGGAAUUGCUGCAGUUUCAUGGUUACACUUGAAUGGAUAAGGAACUGUUUCUUAGGAAUGAGCAAAGAAAGUGGUUUCUUGGGCCGGGCACGGUGGCUCAAGCACUUUGGGAGGCCGAGGCGGGUGGAUCAUGAGGUCAGGAGAUCGAGACCAUCCUAGUCAACAUGGUGAAACCCCGUCUCUACUAAAAAUACAAAGACUUAGCUGGACAUGGUGGUGCAUGCCUGUAAUCCCAGCUACUCAGGAGGCUGAGGCAGGAGAAUUGCCUGAGCCCAGGAGGCGGAGGUUGCGGUGAGCCGAGAUCGUGCCAUUGCACUCCAGCCUGGGUAACAAGAGCGAAACUCCGUCUCAAAAAAAAGAAAGUGGUUUCUUGAGAUGGAGUCUACUGGUGAAGAUGCUGUGAACACUGUUGAAAUGACAACAAAAGGCCAGGCAUGGUGGCUCACACCUGUUAUCCUAGAACUUUGAGAGGCUGAGGUGGGUGGAUCACCUGAGGUCAGGAGUUUGAGUCCAGCCUGGUCAACAUGGCGAGACCCUGUCUCUACUAAAAAUACAAAAAUUAGACAGGCGUGGUGGCAGGCGCUUGUAAUACUCGGGAGGCUGAAGCAGGAAAAUUGCUUGAGCCAAGAAGGCAGAGGUUACAGUGAGCUGAGAUCACACCACUGCACUCCAGCCUGGGUGACAGAGCAAGACUCCACCUCAAAAACAAAAAAAGGGAAAAAAAUCUUAGUUACUUUUAUGUAGUGUUUCCCCUGUUCUAGUAAAAGCAAAACAUAUAUCUAUGAACAAGCAAUGAAAUACAAAGUGUGUAAUUUAGGUGAUUCCUCAUCUAAGUUAAAUGGACUUAUCUGAUGGUAGAGGUUUCAGUGAGCUGAGAUCGAGCCAUUGCACUCCAACCUGGGUGCAACAAGAGCAGAACUCUGUCUCAAAAAGAAAAGAAAAAGAUGACAACAGAGGAUUUAGAAUAUUCUGUAAACUUAGUUGAUAAAGCAGUAACAGGAUUUGAGAGAAUUGACUCUGUAUUAGUCCAUAUUCACACUGCUAUUAAAGAUAUAACCGAGACUGGUAAUUUAUAAAUAAAAAGAGGUUUGUUUUUGUUUUUGUUUUGAGACAGAGUUUUGCUCUUGUUGUCCAGACUGGAGUUCAAUGGCACUAUCUUGGCUCACUGCAACAUCCACAUCCCAGAUUGAAGUGAUUCUCCUGCUUCAGCCUCCUAAGUGGUAGCUGGGAUUACAGGCACGUGCCACCACACCUGGCUAAUUUUUUGUAUUUUUAGUAGAGAUGAGAUUUCAUCAUGUUGGCCAAGCUGGUCUUGGCCUCCUGACCUCAGGUGAUCCACCCACCUCAGCCUCCUGAAGUGCUGGGAUUACAGGUGUGAGCCACCUUGCCCAGCCUAAUAAAAAGAGGUUUAAUGGACUCACAGUUCCACAUGGCUUGGAUGGCCACACAAUCAUGGUGUAAGGUGAAAGACGUGUCUUACAUGGCAGCAGACAAGAGACACGGAAGCCAAUCAAAAAGGGGAAACUCCUUAUCAAACCAUCAGAUCUCGUGAGACUUAGUCACUACCACGAGAACAGCAUGGGGGAAACCGCCCCAUGAUUCACUUAUCUCCCUCUGGCUCCCUCCCACAACAUGUGGGAAUCACAGAAGCUACAGUUCAAGAUGAGAUUUGGGUGGGGACACUGCCAAACCAUAUCUGACUCCAAUUUUGAAAGAAGUUCUGCUGUGGGUAAAAUGCCAUCAAGCAGCCUCACACGCAACAGAGAAAUCUUUCAUGAAAGUCAGAGUCAAUAGAUGUGGCAAAGUUCAUUGUUGUCUUACUUUAGGAUGGGGAUAGAGGAGUGCUGCUCGGAGAGCAGGGCCCUCUGAGGGAGGAGCCCUUUGUGACUGCAGGGGAUGCAUGUUCGUAAGUGGCCCUGACCCCACCUCAGCAUUUCACAACACAGAUCUUACUUCACACUGGUAUAUUCUCUCUCUUUUUUUUUUAAAGAGAUGGGUUCUCGCUAUGUUGCCCAGGCUGGAGUGCAGUGGCUAUUCACAGGCACAAUCCUACUACUGAUCAGCACGGAAGUUUUGACCUGCUCCAUUUCUGACCUGGGCUGGUUCACCCAUCCUUAGGCAACCUGGUGGCCCCCCGACUCCCGGGAAGUCACCAUAUUGAUGCCAAACUUAGUGCUGACACCCGAUCGGCAUAGAGCACUACAGCCCAGAACUCCUGGGCUCAAGCGAUCCUCCCACCUCAGCCUCCUGAGUAGCUGGGACUACAGGCACAUGCCACCGUGCCCAGACAUACUGGUAUAUUCUCUAGAUUUUACACCCAGGGUCUCUAGAAUGAAGGCAGGGAGAAAGGAAAGUAAGGAAGAGCUAGGCCCCAGUCAUCUGCUAAAGACCUGGGUGAAAAUAUGGAAAUGAAAGGACUCUGGCUAGUCCCUUCUUUCCCCUUCCUCCUAUGUCCUCAUUUUCAAUGUCAGUUCAAGAGUUCACUACAACCAAGCUUCCAGUCAACCCUGGAAAAACUCUGCAUAGAUCAUUUUUGUAACUUUAAGAGUUGCACUAGCUCGAGGCACUGGGGAGGGAUAUAUCCUUCCUCUUCACCCUACAUUUUGUUUUUAGACCUUGGGUACCAAAGCUCUAUGAUGGAAGCCAGGUUGAGGGCAGAGUGCUUAUCUUUCAGACCCCCAAAUAAGAAACACUAGUCUAGGGGAGCUAGAGGACUGGAAUCCAGUAUCAUCUCCAAUGAAAUCCAGCUGGAUAAAUCCCAAACCCACUUAUGGGGAAGGCUGGUGAAGAGCACUCAACUGAUUCUUGAUCUCAAAGCUAUCCUUUACCCUGUGUUCAGAUUCAAACAGAGAUUAGGUGCUAUCCAAACUAGUUUUUCCACAACCUUUUCUAGAAAUGGAAAUUUAAGAUAGUUCAUAAAAGUAGUACUGUCAGGAGAAGAUUGGCUGAGGCUAUUACUAUGAAAUUAUUUUCAUGGCAUAAGAACCAUCAAGGAGGCCGGGCACAGUGGCUCGCGCCUAUAAUCCCAGCACUUUGGGAGGCUGAGGCAAGCGGAUCAUGAGGUCAACAGAUCGAGAUCAUCCUAGCCAACACAGUGAAACCCCGUCUCUACUAAAAAUACGAAAAAAUUAGCCGGGCAUGGUGGCACGUGCCUGUGGUCCCAGCUACUCGGGAGGCUGAGGUGGAAGAAUCGCUUGAACCCAGGAGGCGGAGGUUGCAGUGAGCCGAGAUUGCUCCACUACACUUCAGCCUGGUAACAGAGCAAGACUCCGUCUCAAAAAAAAAGAAAGAAAAAGGACGAUCAAAAUGGCUUGGUAGCAUAAUACUUGGCAAUCUUUUCUUAUCAUGGCAGAGUUAGAAAGUAGACACAUUUGUACAGCAUAUACAACAGCUCAAGGAUGGAGAUCUCCCUGGGUACUCUGGCUGUUCCAGCUUUAUGUGAGCUCCAAGGCCUGCUAUGAUCUCAGCAUAUCUUAACUUAGUCACUCCACAUGACCGGGCAUUCAGGUGGGAAGCUCUGCAGAAGUAGAUACUUGGUGUUCCCUCCCUAGUAGCCAUUCCACCUUUCUCCUUUCAAACAGUGUAUGUUUUCCAUUUAAGCAGUCGUAUGGUUCAGGAAAUGGUGAUACUCAUCCUGGGUUCGAAGGGUGAAUGCAGGACUUGGGCUAAGUCAAUUGGUGCAUCCAUGGCUGUGGCCUUGAGGACUGGGUCCAGCAUGGCACUCCACCAGUCCAUUAAGAAUAAAACUCAUGGCUUCGCCUAGACCUCUGUGACAACGAUCUCACUUCCUUCAGACAAGGAAUGCACAGAUGUGGAAACGGGACCUGAUGUGUCUGUUGCACCACUAGGACAGAGGCCAGAUGGAAGGAGAAACCAAACACUUGGAAGAGGGUAGAGAGAAUGAAUGGAGUCCAGGAGCCCUGAUUGUGUCAUAAAUUUCCAGAUAAUUCCAUACCUGAGGGUUAUGUGGUUUGUAAACUUGGCACUUAGAAGAACCAAUAAAAUUAUGUUAUAGUUUCAA